GGGAUAACCACUGGAAACGGUAGCUAAUACCGCAUAACGUCGCAAGACCAAAGAGGGGGACCUUCGGGCCUCUUGCCAUCAGGAUGUGCCCAGAUGGGAUUAGCUAGUAGGUGGGGUAACGGCUCACCUAGGCGACGAUCCCUAGCUGGUCUGAGAGGAUGACCAGCCACACUGGAACUGGAGACACGGUCCAGACUCCUACGGGAGGCAGCAGUGGGGAAUAUUGCACAAUGGGCGCAAGCCUGAUGCAGCCAUGCCGCGUGUAUGAAGAAGGCCUUCGGGUUGUAAAGUACUUUCAGCGGGGAGGAAGGCGAUAAGGUUAAUAACCUCAUCGAUUGACGUUACCCGCAGAAGAAGCACCGGCUAACUCCGUGCCAGGCAGCCGCGGUAAUACGGAGGGUGCAAGCGUUAAUCGGAAUUACUGGGCGUAAAGCGCACGCAGGCGGUCUGUCAAGUCGGAUGUGAAAUCCCCGGGCUUCAACCUGGGAACUGCAUUCGAAACUGGCAGGCUAGAGUCUUGUACGAGGGGGGUAGAAUUCCAGGUGUAGCGGUGAAAUGCGUAGAGAUCUGGAGGAAUACCGGUGGCGAAGGCGGCC
rnacentral:rRNA from 1 species